CCACCAAUCCUUUGUAAUAUUAUUAUACUCUCUUUUUUUUUUUUGGUCUCGCUAAAACGAACGAAUCAGUGUCGGCUCUUGGGUUCCGGAAAAAAAAAAAAAACUCAGAGAACUGAAACCAAAAAAGAACAUUGUACGUCGGAUCCAAAACGCGUAUCAUACAAACGCUUUACUACUCUGUGAACGCUUCCCCUUCUCUUCAUUGCUCGGAAAUCGCGUCUUAAGGCAAUGUGCUGAAACUGAGUCAGGGUCCGAGUUGGCGAAGUGUAACUUGGCGGUUUAGACUAAUCUCAGGUUGGGUUUUGUGAGAAACCGCGUUUCCAAAAUGUUCAACUUCUUCAAGUGGGUGUUUCUGUUGGUAUGUUCAUUAGUAAUUUUGGAAACAGAGGCACUGUAUGUCAAUAUUACAUUUGUUCGAAACGCAGUUGCAAAAGGGGCCGUUUGUUUAGAUGGUAGUCCACCAGCUUAUCAUUUAGACAGAGGUUUUGGAACUGGAAUCAACAGUUGGUUGAUACAGCUUGAGGGAGGAGGAUGGUGCAAUAAUGUCACAAACUGCGUUAGUAGGAUGCAUACUCGAUUGGGUUCAUCUAAGAGAAUGGUGGAGAAACUUGCUUUCUCAGCUAUUCUUAGCAAUAAGAGACAAUAUAAUCCUGAUUUUUACAAUUGGAAUAGAGUAAAAGUUAGAUACUGCGACGGGUCAUCAUUCACAGGAGAUGUACAGGCAGUGAAUCCUGCUACUAAUCUUCACUUCAGAGGUGCUCGUGUUUGGCUAGCUGUUAUGCAGGAGCUGCUUGCUAAAGGCAUGAUAAACGCCGAGAAUGCUGUUUUGUCUGGGUGUUCUGCUGGCGGGUUAGCUACUCUGAUGCAUUGUGACAGUUUCCGUGCUCUGUUACCGAUGGGUGCCAAAGUAAAAUGUCUUUCAGAUGCUGGUUUUUUUCUCAAUACAAGAGAUGUCGCAGGAGCUCAAUACAUUAAAUCAUACUUCAACGAUGUGGUUACUCUACACGGAUCAGCUAAGAAUUUGCCGAGGUCAUGCACAUCAAGAUUGACCCCUGCAAUGUGUUUCUUCCCACAAUACGUGGCUCGCCAGAUUAGAACUCCUCUUUUCAUUCUUAAUGCCGCAUACGACUCUUGGCAGAUAAAGAACAUUUUGGCUCCGCGUGCUGCUGAUCCUUACGGAAAAUGGCAAAGUUGUCAACUUGACAUCAAGAACUGCCAACCAAACCAGCUCAAAGUUAUGCAAGAUUAGAGUUCUUGAGAGCGGUGAUAGGUUUAGGGAGAUCUUCAUCAAGAGGGAUGUUCAUAGAUUCUUGCUACACUCACUGCCAAACCGAGACACAAACUUCAUGGUUCUGGCAAGAUUCUCCAAUUCUAAACCGCACGACAAUAGCAAAAGCUGUUGGAGAUUGGGUUUAUGACAGAACAUUGUUUCAGAAGAUAGAUUGUCCUUACCCUUGUAACCCUACUUGCCACCACAAGGUUUUCACUCCUCAAGAUGCUCCCCCAAUUUAAGAGAUUCUACCAUAUACAUAUACAGAUUUAUUAUUUUUUAAAGAAAAAAUUGCUUAUAAAUGAUUCAUUUGUCACAUAUAGUGAGAAGUUCUUAGGGUUUUAGGUAUAGAAGAAAAAAGAGAAAAAGAGUGUGAUUGAUUCUUGAGUGUUGAGGGUAAGCAAAACGAGCAAUUUUCUUCAGCAUUUAUCUUGUUUGCUGAUUAGUUGCUCUGUUUCUCUUCCAUUCUUAUGUAAAAUGCGACAUUGUUACUUUUUAUUCUUAUAAAUAAAGUGUUAGUU